UACAGAGGUCCCAAGCGUUGUUCGGAUUCACUGGGCGUAAAGGGUGCGCAGGCGGUCGAUCAAGUCGAGUGUGAAAGCCCCCGGCUCAACUGGGGAGGGUCAUUCGAUACUGAUCGACUCGAAGGCAGGAGAGGGUAGUGGAAUUCCCGGUGUAGUGGUGAAAUGCGUAGAUAUCGGGAGGAACACCAGUGGCGAAGGCGACUACCUGGCCUGUUCUUGACGCUGAGGCGCGAAAGCUAGGGGAGCAAACGGG
rnacentral:rRNA from 1 species